rnacentral:rRNA from 1 species
AUUGAACGCUGGCGGAAUGCUUUACACAUGCAAGUCGAACGGCAGCACGGGUGCUUGCACCUGGUGGCGAGUGGCGAACGGGUGAGUAAUGCACCGGAACGUAUCCAAUAAUGGGGGAUAACGCACCGAAAGGUGUGCUAAUACCGCAUACGCCCUGAGGGGGAAAGCGGGGGAUCGUAAGACCUCGCGUUAAUGGAGCGGCCGAUGCCGGAUUAGCUAGUUGGUGAGGUAAAGGCUCACCAAGGCGACGAUCCGUAGCUGGUCUGAGAGGACGAUCCGCCACACUGGAACUGAGACACGGUCCAGACUCCUACGGGAGGCAGCAGUGGGGAAUUUUGGACAAUGGGGGCAACCCUGAUCCAGCCAUGCCGCGUGAGUGAAGAAGGCCUUC